CGGGGUUGCUAACUCAACGGUAGAGUACUCGGCUUUUCAUUGCGACUAUGAUCUUUGACACAUUUGGAUGAAGGAAUU
rnacentral:tRNA from 1 species